GUACUCAUGCUCUUGGCUUUAACCCCGGAAGAAGGGUUUUUAGCCAAUAAUAUUCAUAAUCACAAUUCAAAUAAUUGAAUACAUGAUAUGAAAAAAUUAAAAGUUAAAUAAAAUAAUUAAAACCUAAUUAACCGAGUGCCUCUGCUUUUUCUCCCAAAUAGCGUCCAAAUCGUGUUUAGCGUUAAUAGCGUGUCCCCAAGUAUUUAUGUUGUCACCUGUACAUGUCCAGUUUUCCAAUUGUAACCAGCCGUUGUGCAAUACAUAUAUUAUACUCCCUCCCUUUAAAAAAGAAUGACCUACUUUGACUUAGUACAAAAUUUAAGAAAAUGAAGAAGACUUUUAAAUCUUGUGGCCUUAAAUUAAAGUAGUGUCAAAUGUAUCAAAAUGCCCUUUAAUCUUGUGAUCAUAAAUAUGUCAGGUGACAAGUUGAAAUUAAAGUAUUGUCAAAAAAGAAAAUGGGUCAUUCUUUUUUAAAUGAACAAAAAAGAAAAAUAGGUCAUUUUUUUUGAAACGGAGGGAUUAAUAUAUUUCUUUUCCUUGUCACUUUGGAUUACAAAGGGUGCACGUGGAUCAAGGCCACCAACCGCCUUUCUAUUUGCGCCAAUUCCAAUUAAUAAUGGGACAUGCCACUGUGCUGUGUCGGCAACAUUAAAUUGAUAGUGAAGGAUUUAUCAAUGCGACACGUUGUUCAACGCUUUGGGCACAUCGAUGCGACGUGUUGACUUCACGUCGUCUCACUAGAAUUUACAUUUAAAAAUUUGAUUAAGUGUAGACCGUCCCAUCCUUUGCUAAUGCCUUUUGUAGUGUAUUUUCAACGAAUUUUUGGUCUUUAAAUCAUCAACAUAUCAUCAUAUUUAAUUCAUCAAGCCUCCUACAAUAUCAUGCACCACAUAUUCAAGAUUAAAAUAACACAAUAUUCUCAACAACAAAUCAAAACACAAGUUAGGAUAAGGCAAAUUUGCAAUGAUCUUCCACUUAUUAUUUCGACCCUUGACUUAAUCAAAUUAAUCUGUGCACAUUACAAACAAGUUAUUUGGAACAAAUUAAACACAUUAAAAUCCAACGGAAUCAACUAGACACACACCUAGCUCAAGCUAGUAAAACUAGUUUUUCGGGUUGAACUCUAAAUUACUCAAUUAAGCACAAACUUGUUUGAAAAAUACUUUGGACAUUAUAAAUAAACACUUGGACACUUAAAUGCUUAUUUAUAUCAAUAUGAACACGUCAAGCACACGAAUUUCUCUCAAAACAAGGUGAAAUAAGCUAGAAUAAUGAUACAAAAGUGUAUAAAAUCACCUCAGAUCAUCACCCCACACUUAAACUCUUGUUCAUCCUUGAACAACUCUUUAAGUAUAAAAAUUUGAGGUGAUGCUACACUUCGAAUAAAAUAAAUACACUCAAGCUAGUACUACAAUGACUACACGAAAUGCAAGUUUCUACACAAAGCACAUUAUUUACACAAUUGAUAGCUCAUAAACACAACUCUAAAACAUCCUAACCCCAAGAAUUGACUUAAUACAUGGCAAACUCAUGCAUAUUAUUCAAUAAAGGACAUCUUACAAAUCACCCACAUUAAUCAAACAUGUGCCCUCAUAGCAAGAGAGUUAACCCAGAAACACUCACAAUAACACAAUUUAUCAUAUAGUGGGUAUAAGAAUCGAAUUAUGCUCACUCUCACAAAGAAUUCACAAGUUACACACAAUGAACCAUGGGCUUUCCCUUAAUGUAAUGCUCCACUAAUAGUCGAAUGUAAAGCUUAGGAUCAAUUAAGACUUUUCCAGGUUAUAAUGUAGGCUAAGGGAUGAAUAGGAACUAUUUUGGUCAAGAAUAGUGACUAACCUCUCUAAGCACUUUAAUACACUAUAUUAAAAAUUUAAAGCACAUCUCAAAUAACUAAAUUACACCAUUUUUUUCUACCAUUUCUUUUUAUUUUUGCCCCAUGUCUUUUAAGUAUUUUCACGAACACUUGAUGGGCAUAUGGUUUAUUACCACAAGAAUCACUUUUUUUUACAAUCAUGAAAAUAUUUUUUUCAUCAAUUAUAUCACAUCAAUCCACCACGCCUCAAUUAUAAACACCAAUAACUAUUUCCUUGGGGCAUCAAUUUCACUUUUUCUUCUUCAAUUUCUCAAACUCCUUACUAAUUCAUUUUUUUUCAAUUAAAGCACUUAGGAGCUUUUUGGAUCAAAUUAUGGUUUAUCCAAGAAGGGGAUUAGGCUACAUAUGAGGCUACCAAAGAAAAUAAGAUAAAGGCUCAAUGGAGUUUAACUAAGAUAGUGCACAAAGGGUAGGACAAAUAGAAGGUAUAAAACAACGCUAUCAAACAAAUGCCUAAAUCAUCUCCAAAACUCACACUCUUUAUUUCGCUUUGCACACACACCGGACAAGUUCUAGACAUCAUAUGCAAUAAGGAAUAUACAAAAAACCUUACACGCACAUGGUAUAUGCUCAAAUCAAAUAGGAUCAUCAUAGACUCUCAACCAACAAUAGCAUGAAUUCAAAUUAAGCCCAAAAAGUACAAGAGUCAUAAACUUGAUUCUAAGAGUCUUAAAAAUAGCAAUUCACUCAAUUCAACAUGAUUUUACAAACAAAUCAAUUUGCAUCAUGUAAUAAAAAAUAACAUCAACAAGAAUAUUUCACUUAUUCCUAACCUAAAAAAAAAUUAAUUGAGCCAAAAUUUGAGAAUUUUCCCAUCCCACACUUAAAAAUCUACUUUGUUCACAAAGUGAAUUUAAAGGUAAGAGAUAGAAAUACUCCCUGAGGCAUCUAGGCCUAGCUAGUAGCAUCUUCACAUAAAAAGGAGAUCCAUGGGACCCACACUCAAUCUUUUCCAUGCUUCAAGCUCAAGUUUAUGAUACUCAGACUUCUCGUUAACCUGUGACUCAAUAAAAAACAAAAAAUACGUGAAAUAAAAACUAUGAAAAACUAAAAAGAAAACAUACCUAAUUAACUUGGGUCGCUUCCCAAGAAGUCCCUAAUUUAGUGUCGCGGCACGACGUAAUCAACUUUUUCCUCCACCUCGAGAAUAUAAAUUUCACCCCCAACAUCGCAUCUAUCUUUUUGCCUCGAUCCUAUGGAGGUGGUACCAAGAUUAAUGAACCGAGUAAAGGAUGAUGCAUGAUAAACCACUCGACCUUCAAGUGAGGUAUGUUUUUAUGUUGCUUAUCCGAUGUAAAAUCAAGAAUAUAAGAUUCUUGUUCCUCAUCUUCACACUCUUCCACUAUUUUAGAUGAUUCCACAAAUAAGAUAUCAUCUAAAAAUAAUAUAGAAAAAUGCUUCGAGUGAGGCCCAAUCAAUCCCACUUCACAAUUUACACUAUCUACUACAUACUCACUUUUAUUCACCUUCUCAAUUUUGGUCUCAAGAUCAAGAUGACAAUUGAGUGGUUGCGAUUCUUGUGUUUGCUCCACAUAUUGGCUAAUAUCCUCCCAAUAUUUUUUUUUGUUUAGCCACUAUAGACAUGGUGACAGUAGUAACUCCUCAACCUGUUCGACAACUUUAGUUUCUGAGUACUCAGACUUCCUCAAAUUAUUUACAUCAUAUUGUGAAGGUCUCGUCUACGCACUUUCAUCAAAAUCUGGACAAUAAGCCUCUUGAUGUGGUCCCCCACAGAAACAACAAGAAUCAUCAUCACUUGAAAACCAUCUAUCCCAGGUUGACAUAUCAAGAAGUGUGAUAAAAACAAAAAUAAAAGAAAAUAAAAAUAAACUAAACAAAAACUAUUUACAACUCAAUAUAGUUACAGGGACUUGCGUUCGCCGCCUAUCUAAUUCUAGUCUAACUAAUUAAGAAAAAACAAACAAGAAUAGAGUUUGUAAUUUUGUAAAUUAAAUAUAAAAUAAAUAAUGCGUAAACAUAAAAGUCUUGGGACAAUCAAUGGAGAAAAUUCCAGGGUUAAAGGACUUCGAAUAAUCAUACUAUGUUUUUGAAUUUCCUUCGUUAACUUGCUUAUCUUGAUUGUUGAUUCGUAGGGUUAAUUGCAUGAUCAUGGUUUCCAACCUCUAAUCUUUUAUCUAAUAUGGACAUUACAACUACAUCGUUGAGAGGGAAUGUAAUAAUUCAAUUAAGUGAAUUAAAGCUAUCAUCCUACGUUUGAAUCAAGUAAGACAUCUAAGUACAUCCCUGUCCUAGAUGCUAAGUUUAAUUCUUUAUUUUAUAAAAGAAUAAAAACCCAAACUUUGUUUAUUCCCGUGUUCUAUCUCUUUAUUCCCUCUCCUGAGAUCAAAAGGUUGACAAUAUAUGUAUUCUAAGGGUUACGAAUCCUUAAAAUAAUUAAAACAAGAAUAAACAAACAAACACAUAUGAUAAGCAAAGUUAAACGAAAUUAAUCCAAAAUAAUAGUACUCAUAUUCUUGACUUUAACCCCAGAAGAAGGGUUUUUAGCCACUAAUAUUCGUAAUCAAGAUUCAAAAAAUUGAAUACAUGAUAUGAAAAACUAAAAACUAAAUAAAAUAAUUAAAACCUAAUUAACCGUGUAACCGCCUCUGCUUUUUCUCCAAAAUAGCAUCUAAAUCGUGUUUAGUGUUAAUAACGUGUCUCCAAGUAUUUAUGUUGUCACCUGUACGUGUCCAGUUUUCCAAUUGUGACCAGCCGUUGUGCAAUACAUAUAUUAUAAUAACUACUUAUAAAUUCUAUGUUAUGUAUAAUUUUAGCAAAACAGAUAUAUCUUAAACGACUUAUAAUAAGUACGAAUUACAAAUCAUAUAAUAAAAUUACUAUAAAACAAUUGAUAUACCUAGUCCAGUAACAACUUUUGAAAAUUGACAAUAUAAACAAGAAGAAUAUGGAAGUUUGUUACAGCUGCAUAAAUGCUUUUGAAACCUUGAACCAAACAAGUCCAUGAGUGUUAAAAUAAGGAGAAAGCAGAAAGAAGAAAACAAAGAUGAAAUAAUAAUAUCAUAAGGCUAGUUCUUGUUUUAUUAAAAAAAAAAAAACUUUAAGUAUCUAUACAAGAGCUCAUAGAAAAGUAACACCAUUUUCAGGAAAAGGCAAGGAAGGAAAAAGAUUUAAUAACUCAUCUAUUAUACGAAGUAGACCAACAAAGAAAGAAAUUCAAGUCAUAUUUAUUUGCAGUCUUAUCCAUCUUCUCUCCAGAGAAAGAUUAUCAACCAAUAAAUAGUGUAUUAUAAAUAAUUAAGUCAACAAUAAUAACUUCAGUGUAAUCCCAUAAAAUGGGGUCUGGGAAGGGUAAGAUGUAUGCAGUCCAUACCGCUAUCUUCGAAGAAGUAGAGAGGUUUCCGAUAGACCUCCGGCUCAAGAUGAAGAACAGUAAACAAAUGAACUAUAAAUAAUUAAGUCAAGUUACCAUAAUUAAAAUAAUCUUAUCCACUAAAUAAGUUGCAGAUUUAAUUGACCUUAAUUAUCUACAAUCAAGCGAUUAUAAAAUAUUGGAAGCCCUUUGGAGUACCAGAAAACAGCAAAGCUUAUGCUAUGUAAUUACCUUUUCUAUGUACAAAAACGGAUAAAGCAGCAGAAAGAAAAACAUUAUCUAUUCAAAUGGGAAUAAUCCAAAGUAGAUUCUUUUCUUUGGAUAAAUAAGAAACUGAGGUGGUGAACUAUGGAUAAACAAAAACUCAGACGGUGAGAGUAAAACUAUUAGAAAAUUAUCAAAGUACCUUUUUUUUGCUCAAGCAAACAUGCUGACCAUGUCCUGUGUGCUUGAGCAGGUACAUCGUGACUUAUUAUAUAGUAGAAUAUAUUUCUUUUCCUUAUCACUUUGGAUUACAAAGGGUGCACCUGGAUCAAGGUCACCAACCGCCUUUCUAUUUGUGCUAAUUCCAAUUAAUAAUGGGACAUGCCACUGUGCUGUGUCGGCAACAUUAAAUUGACAGUGAAGGAUUUAUCAACGCGAUGAAUUAUUCAAUGCAUUGGGCACAUCGAUUCAACGUAUUGAAUUCGCGUCGUCUCACUGGAAUUAACAUUUAAAAAUCUGGUUAAGUAUAGACCGUCCCAUCCUUUGCUCAUGUCUUUUGUAGUGUAUUAUCAAUAAUUUUUCGUCCUUUAAAUUAUCAACAUAUCACCGUAUUUAAUUCAUCAAGCCUCCUACAAUAUCAUACACCACAUAUUCAAGAUUAAAAUAACACAGUAUUCUCAACAACAAAUCAAAACACAAGCUAGGAUAAGGCAAAUUCGCAAUAAUCUUUCACUUAUUAUUUUGACUCUUGACUUAAUUAAAUUAAUCUUUGCACAUUACAAACAAGUUAUUCCACAUAAAAUUACACAUUUAAAAUAUUUGGAAUAAAUUAAAGACAUUAAAAUCCAACGAAACCAACUAGACACACACCUAGCUCAAGUUAGUAAAAUUAGUUUUUCGGGUUGAACUCUAAAUUACUCAAUUAAGCACAAACUUGUUUGAAAAAUACUUUAGACAAUAUAAAUACACACUUGGACACUUAAAUGAUUAUUUAUAUCAAUAUGAACACGUCAAGCACACAAAUUUCUCUCAAAACAAGGCAACAUAAGCUAGAAUAAUGAUACAAAAGUGUAUAAAAU
rnacentral:lncRNA from 1 species